ACAAUAAAAGUAUUUAUUAAGUUUUAUUAUUGGAUAUACAUCACAUUUAACAAUAAAUUACAUAAAAGGAAACAAGCUUGAAAGAGAAUGAGCAAGAAAGAAAGUUACUGGUUGCUAAAGAUAAAUCAGUCUUAAUAGGUUAUAUUUGUUUGGUCCUUGGCUUAAGGAUUUUAUCGGUGGUCCAAGUUACUCAACUGUUUGACCUUACAUGCAUGUAGUAAAAUUGUAAAAUCCAUAAUUUUUGUGCAGAGAAUAUGGAAUAUUUUAUAUUACAUUAUGAAUAAUCUCAUACGA